UGAGCAUGCCUGUCGGGAC
rnacentral:snRNA from 1 species